CCCUCUUAUUAGGGGACUACAGGGAGACUUAAGAAAGAUAGGAAAAUUAACCCUGAGUCGACAGCUUCAGGUCUUAGGGAAAACUUUACAGGUUCUCAACCAAUGGGUUAGAGAAAGAUUGUCAGUGAAUUUGACCCAGGUGCACACUCCUUCAAGCCUGGAGAUUGAGUCUGGGUCAAAGAAUGAAAUAUUCAGCCUCUAAACUUCUUUGGAGGGGCCCUUUCAAUGUUAUUUUAUCCACCCCAACUGCAGUAAAGUUUGCAGAGAUAGGUCCCUGGAUUCACUACACCAGACUCACACCUGCAGCUGCGGACUGGGAGUGCUCUCCAGAUGCUGAUACGCCCUUGAAGCUGACCAUCCUGAAGAAAAAGAAGCACCAGAGAAGCUUGAGGAUCAGAAGGACAACAGCCCUGCUCCAGUCACUCCGGAAGCUGACUGGUCUACGCACGGCCGAAGCUUGAGGAGACUGCGGCCCUGUUUCAGCCACACAGGAGGGACUAACUGAUCAAUACAUGGUGAAAGAUAAACUUCCCACCGGGAUUAAGAAACUCUUUCAACCUCUGAGAUAGUUCUUAUACAGUAAUGCAUUGCCACCCCUUGCUUCUAGGUAUAUACACAGUUCUCUGUUUGGUUUUAGCUACUGGUUUGAUAACAGUAACUCCUAACUGACUGGACUCUGGGUAACAAAAUUUCACUUAUAUAUCUAUUUUUUUAUCUUGGUUAUAUAAGUUUUCUAGGAUUUGUUUGGUGUUAUUAGUUUGGCUUUGUUAAUUUAUGCUGUUUAACCUAUGCUAACCAAAAUGUUAGUCUAUUAUUUAGUUUGGUUUCCUUUGAUAACCUUAAGAGGUUCUGCCCUACUCCUAUUCCAGCCAUGGAGAUCAUGUGAACCAUGUGUCAAGACAAUCCACUAUAACUAAGAGGUGGUAAAACAUAUAUUUAGGACCUGUCCCACCAGAGGAAUGUUAUAGAUGGAUAACUGUUUGGAAAGGAAAAAGAGGUCCAUUGGAAAGAAACUUGAUUUAGGAGGUCACCAAUCUUGGGGUGAAGGUAACUGGCCAUCCCAGAGGAUUAUUGCCACUUAUGGUCUUGCUACCUGGGGACAAAAUGGCAGUUGAAAUUAUAGAACUCCUAUUUACAUGUUAAACAGAAUUAUUCACUUACAAGCUAUACUAGAAAUUAUUAUUAAUAAGACUGCCAUAGCCUUUGACAUCCUAGCCACACAACAGAUCAGAUGCAAGUGGCUAACUAUCAAAACUGCUUGGCAUGAGAUUACCUACUGGCUAAGGAAAAAGAAAUAUGUGGAGAGUUCAACAGCUCAGAUUAUUGCAUCCAAAUGGAUAGGCAAGCAGUUAAGGAUAUAGCCAACAACACAAGAGAACUAGCACAUGUGCUCAUUCAUACCUAGAAGGGAAUUGAAGUUUGGGUCCCAAACAUGCUUUUGGCAGAUGGUUUUCAACUCUUGGUAGAUUUAAAAGCUUAACUGGUGUAAUGGGUAUUCCGCUAUUAACCUGUUCAUUGCUCCCAUGUUUGGCUCCACUGUGCAUUAAAACUAUUGGGUCCACUAUAGAAGCUGCUGUUAAAAGGAUGGCAACAACUAAGGUUUUGACAUUGUAUAAGACUUUAAGCCAAGAUAAUGGUAAUGAUGCUCUUAAAUUUAAAGGAUUAAAUUAUGGGGAGCAUCAUUAAAGGGGGGAAUUGAAGUGGCACCCCUUUCUCCACAGAAAAGCCCUCUUCACCAUGGCUAAUUCUAGGACUGUCAGCAAAAGAGUCCAUUGUAGAUAAACUUCCUAUUUUCAUGUCACCCUGUUUACUUGGCCACUGGCCGAGAAGAUACCAGCACUCCAGGUGCUGGACAUCCCCUUACUAGUUUUUCACAAACAUAUCAGUAUAGUACUUUGAAGAAAUGUGCAAACAAGGCCUCUGGCCUUGAGCUGAGCUUCACAGAGAUGUCUAUAUUUUUAAGAUAAGUUAUAAAUGGGCCCAUGGUAACAUCUGGCAGGGGGAGGAAAGAAAGGGGAGAAGAAGCUCUCCCCUUCUCAGGUGUUGUCCUUGAAGAGUUAACUUGCCCAGAACAGUGAAAGAAAAAGCUGCUUUUAAGUGAACUUCUGCAGACUGUGAACUUCUGAGCCCCUCCCCUUACAUGCUGGGUAUAAAACACUGAAACUCCCUGAACUCGGGGGGUUCAGAGGAUUGAUUGAUUACAGCAAAAGCUGUACCCUCUGAACCUGGCUGCAGCCAAAUAAAACUGUUUCCUGCUAUCUUCUGUGCCUUGCCUCGUUUGUCCC
rnacentral:lncRNA from 1 species